rnacentral:rRNA from 1 species
UACGAAGGGUGCAAGCGUUAAUCGGAAUUACUGGGCGUAAAGCGCGCGCAGGCGGUCCUUUAAGUCUGAUGUGAAAGCCCACGGCUCAACCGUGGAAGGUCAUUGGAAACUGGGGGACUUGAGUACAGAAGAGGAAAGCGGAAUUCCACGUGUAGCGGUGAAAUGCGUAGAGAUGUGGAGGAACACCAGUGGCGAAGGCGGCUUUCUGGUCUGUAACUGACGCUGAGGCGCGAAAGCGUGGGGAGCAAACAGG